UCUCUCUCCCCCCACCCCCUCUCUGAAAUAAAAAAAACAUUUUGAAGUCACAGAUAAAUAUCUCGAGGCACGCUCAUGGAUCCUUCUUGAGGGAAAUGAUUCAGAAAUGAAACCCAGACAAUUCAGAGAUAAAUCAAGUGUCUGGGGACGGCCAGGCUGGAAUAGGAAGGGAUCCCCGAGACCCAACGCGAAACUGACCACCCUGAGCAAAGACCAGCGCAGCGUGUCCUGAGCGAGGCUGCUGUAGAAUGCUGGCAGGAAGACAGGAGCCUCCCUGCCCUGUUGGGCCGUGGAGGGGGAGCCGCUUUCUAGGAUGGGAACGUGACAGAGCCGACCACCACUCAAACCAUGCUGGAAGCCCCGGGCUGCCCUCGGACGUCUGCGUGGGGGCAGCGUGCGUCUCGCUGAAGGUGCUGCAUUUGGGGCUCUCCGAAGCCGCAGCCUGGCUCUCGCCGGGGACCAGGGACGUGUCCAGGUGUCCCAGCGGGAACCGUGUUCCCAGCAUGCCUCACUCACUCCUUUCUCUCUAGUCCUAGAGACUGACACGGCGGAUGUAUCGGGUCCCAGGAUCAGCACGGAAAUGAAGUCCUCCCUUCUCUAUUCAUUCCCGGCGAAGACAGUGAAGCAAUUUGUCUCCUGGAGAAGGCUGGGAGCAUUUGCCGCCGUUUCCUGUUUUGCACACGGCUCCUGGCCGUGCCAGCUUGUCAUCUGGACGGCUCUCCCCUCCAUAGCCGCAGGACACAUGCUUGCAAUUUGCAGAGCGGAGGCAUUGCGGGAAGGUGGGACUUGUCCCUGAGGAAUGAGUGUCCGAGAGCCCGUUUCCUGGCCUCACGUGUCAGCAGAAGUUGGUUCUCCCCCAGCCGGCGGCCGCGUCCACAAAACUCACCGAGAGGUUCCUGCGAAUGCCCGACACAGGCACGGCCAUAUUUCAGUGUCACAAAAACAUUCCCUUCGUCCCCUGUCUGCUCAGCGCCGGCCCCGCUGUCCCCGCCCCAGCCGUCCCACUUGGCAAAUGCCGACGACCAGGAGGUUUCAAUUUAAACAAAUAUCUGGCGAAGAAAAAGGAGAAAAACGGUCACGUUUGGGUGGCUGUGCGGGGGUGGGGAGCAGGGGCGGGGAGGAUUGAGCCAAGCCAGCCGUGAACUGGCUCCUCACCGGGCACCGAUCGGCCGGGGAGGAGACGGCGGUGACCUGUUCUGUCUUUGCAGAAGCCAAACAAAGGGGCAGGGGGGACACGUGUGUGUGCUUUCAUGGAAACUUCCUAAACCUCACUCGCCUCUUGUGCAUGUGUCUACCAGUUGGUUUCUGCCUCUGAGCCUCAGUAGUCCUCGUCCGUAAAAUGGGUUAAUGGUGUGUAGCCCGUAGGGUUAGGCGAGGAUUAGAGGGUAUAUCCCGUGUAAGGCACGUGGGUACAUGGCUGAAGGUUGUCCUGUUUGCACACACCUGUGCACACACAUCCCGCUUAGGGACGGUGCAUGCUGCUUGCACAGGUGGUGGCCUGGGACUAAGGGCCUUCGGCAGACAGGUGCUUCCACCUGCCGAGUCUCUGGGCUCCGCUUGGGGGCCCCGGGGGGUCUGAGUGACGAGAUCAGUCGCAGAAGCCCACUUGGAGCCUAGACGCCGGCAGCGCCUCUUGUUGAGCGCGGGCGCGCGUUCCCAGCCCAGAGAGGCCGUUAGACAGCCAUGGUGCGUUGAUUCGUGCAAUGGCUGAUGGAAACCAGGAACAGAGCCUCCCGAGGAGGUGCCCGGGCCCUCUGGGGCCCACAGGGGCUGUGUGGGGAAGUGGGUGCAGGCGAUGACUCCCAGUGGGUGGGUCUCGAGGCUCCUGAGCAGGUGCGGCUCUCGGCUCCGCCUCCAAUCUGACACAAGCCUCAGAGGCCAACUUGUCCUGCAACAGGGACAAGUUCCAGGGGUGCAGAGCUGGGCCACGCAUGGAGGCGACGCCGGGGAGGAGACGCCAGCCCCAGGGCCUCUCGGCCCAGCCGUCCCAUCCGGGGGUCUCGGGGCCACCUGGCCCAGCCGGAGCCGGGCACCAUUGCCCGGGGAAAUUCUCCAGCCACAGGAAGCCGGAAUCUCUCCCAAAGACGGGGAAGGAAGACUUCUUUAACAGGGCGAGGGAAAAACCUGUUUUUAAAGCAUAAAAUGGAUGCACACCCACUCAAGUAAAAGUUAAACAGCUCAGAACUAUAUACAAUGAGAACUAACAAACUGCAGGUCGCUUACCAAACACAGCCUGCCCAGGCCCUUCCCCAAGGGGGAGAACCCAACAGUUUCUCGUGAGCCGUAGGAUUUGUGUGUACAUUGACAGUAAAUGCUGACAUUUAAAAAAACAACAGAGAUGAGAUCAUGCAAUGCUGUUUCUGCUUAACCAUGUGCUACGCGGCUCUUCUGGGGCCAGGGCUUGCACGCUUGUCCUAUCGUACUCAGUGUCUCUUCCAUGUCAUGUGUGUCACGUGCGUGUCACAUGUGUGUCACGUGUGUAAUCACUCAGCUCGUCCCCCGCGUUGUUCUCACCCAUGUGAGCAAGCCAGCAACGCUCACCUUGCUUUCACAAACAGGAGAGUCCAGGGAGGCCGUAACCUGCGCAUAGCUCUUCCAUUAAAGGCAUCCGUUCCUCGUUUGGUAAGGAAGGAGCCUUGGAGGAUGCCUCAAAGAAAACCCGCGGUAGGCCGGUGCUGUAGCAUAGCGAGUCAAGCCACCGUCUGCAGUGCCAGCAUCCCAUAUGGGCGCUGGUUUGAGUCCCAGCUGCUCCUCUUCCAAUCCAGCUCUCUGCUGUGGCCUGGGAAAGCAGUGGAGGAUGGCCCAAGUCCUUGGGCCCUUGCA